CCCCUGAUUAGCCUGUGUGGACUGCACAGGCUAAUCUGGGAUGACAAAUUAUGCACAAGCAUUAUGUCCAGUUUUCUCAGAACAAUACACAAUUAUUCAAUUUUAAAAGUUAAAUGUUUACCGGGUAACAUUAUUCAUUUUUUUAUUAAAUAUUGGAUAUUGUGAAGACUAUGCUGUCUUAUUAACAAUAUUAAUGAAAACGUGUGUUUAUUAUAUUUUAUAAUGAAAAAUCAACCUAUGUAUAAAGAUACAUCUUGUUUAAAAAAUGAAAAAAACAACAACAUGUUUUUAAUAUGGAAGAGCGUCUAUAAACAUCAGUGUCCUUUCUUCUAAAGGAUUUCUUUGAGAGGCAUGCAGAAUCCAGCCACUACUACUUCCAGUUAAAGAAGUGUUCAUCCGAUGAAUGUGGCUACUGCUCAGUCAACCCAGUCCGAAAUCAGGAUGUUUUUGACCGCCUCAGGUUCCUCCCUGAACCAAAGCCGGACGAAAAUGGUGAACACUACCUACCAUUCAGUGAGUUGUUUGGGAAAGAUCUGACCCGUGACAAGUACAGGCCCUCAACCAGACCAUGUGGAACCUAUGAUGAGGAAUUACAAAACCAUGACAGAGAGAAUCGAGAAAUUUUGAGGAAUGAUAAGCUUCGAGAUGCUGUCCUUUGCGGAGAAUGUAGCAGGCCAAGAUGUGUCUUCAGUCCAAACAAGCUUGACCGACAACAGGAGGAAUUCUUGCGGAACAUUUAGGCAUGCCAUUCGUAUAUCUGUGGAGAUCAGUUGGAAGAUGCACCUGACCUGUAUGUUCGGAGAUGCGUGACCUGCAGCUCUGAGGUGGAAACAGCUUAUUACUCAGCCAAGUGUCGGCAUUACCUUCCACCAGUGUGCAUCCACUGUGGAACUCCUGACAGUGUGUUAGAUGACAACGAUGCAUAUGUUGCAGAUUUGUAUACAAAAUAUUCCAUAGUCAGGCCAAUUUGUGUGUCUUGUCGACAUUCUGGAAAAGAGGAAAAAACAUGAGGCGCCAAGAAGUUUGUAAAAAAACAAAAAGUCAAGUGAACUCAUUCAAGCCUUCAAACGUUCCUACUUUGAUUUGGUUUGUAAAUGAGACCAAAGCAAAAGUAUGUGUUUAUGAUGACCAUCAUCAUCAUGUUUAUAAAUGUUAACAUUGUUUUGUGUUAAGAUUAAAGUUGAUACUAGUCAUUUGUGAUGGCACUGUUCUUGGAAAAGUAUGUUUUAUUGUAAAUUGAUGUGUUUUUUAAAUAGUCAUGCUAAAUAUUGUUAUACUACUAUUGUUAUAAAUAUAUAUUAUAGUACUAGUCAUUUAAUAAAUAUACUAGAACUGAUACUAGUCUUUUUAUGCCCCCGGUAGGGUGGCAUAUAGCAGUUGAACUGUCCGUCUGUCUGUCCGUCCGAAAACUUUAACAUUGGCCAUACUUUUUUCAAUAUUGAAGAUAGCAACUUGAUAUUUGGCAUGCAUGUGUAUCUCAUGGAGCUUCACAUUUUGAGUGGUGAAAGGUCAAGUUCAUGUAAAAAAAAAAUAUAUAUAUAUUUUCAAAGCGGCGCAGUAGGGGGCAUUGUGUUUCUGACAAACACAUCUCUUGUUUGGCACUCAAAUAAGGCAAAUAUAUGUUACUGUGCUAUGUUAAAAUAAAGGGCUCCUACUAAUCACAUCUUUAAAUAGUUUUGAUUAAAAGGCAUGUGUUUUAUAUUAAAAUAAAAAACUUUAACUAUUCAUUUCUUAUUGUUCUUUCAUAAGGAAGUUAUGUUUUUUUUUAUACUUUACAAAACUUAAACUUCUCAUUUCUAAUUUUAACAUUGCUAAACUAACCAAAGUAAUGCAUUUGAGUAUAAUGUAUACUACUACAUGUAUAACCUAUGAUAUUUAGAACUGAUACAGAUUCAAGAUAUUUCUUAUGCUUGAUGUUUAGCAUAUUAUUUAUUGUCAUGUUAUUUAACUUUCAUUGACAGAAGACUGAGCUUCUUAUAUAACUUUGCUAGUGAAAAGUACAGUGUACCAUGUUAACAUUAAGUAGUCACUACCUGUUGUGAAUAAGCAGAAUAACUGUUGGAGAAUAUUUUGUUUAUCAUACUUUUACAAACAUUGGACUAGAGUAAAACAUAGUACUACUAAAUGACCUUGUGUUUGUAUUUUGAAGAUAUCAUGCAUUUAUUUGGCAACAAAUAUCAAUUUACAGAGACAA